rnacentral:rRNA from 1 species
UACGAACUGUGCAAACGUUAUUCGGAAUCACUGGGCUUACAGGGUGCGUAGGCGGCCUGUUAAGUAGGGUGUGAAAGCCCCCGGCUCAACCGGGGAAUGGCGCCCUAAACUGGCGGGCUGGAGUGAGAUAGGGGUGUGCGGAACUUCCGGUGGAGCGGUGAAAUGUGUUGAUAUCGGAAGGAACGCCGGUGGCGAAAGCGGCACACUGGAUCUCAACUGACGCUGAGGUGCGAAAGCGUGGGGAGCAAACAGG